rnacentral:rRNA from 1 species
GACGAACGCUGGCGGCGUGCUUAACACAUGCAAGUCGAACGGAAAGGCCCCUUUGGGGGUACUCGAGUGGCGAACGGGUGAGUAACACGUGAGUAACCUGCCCUUGACUUCGGGAUAACUUCAGGAAACUGGGGCUAAUACCGGAUAGGAAUCCUUGCUGCAUGGUGGGGGUUGGAAAGCUUCGGCGGUUUUGGAUGGACUCGCGGCUUAUCAGCUUGUUGGUGGGGUAGUGGCUUACCAAGGCUUUGACGGGUAGCCGGCCUGAGAGGGCGACCGGCCACAUUGGGACUGAGAUACGGCCCAGACUCCUACGGGAGGCAGCAGUGGGGAAUAUUGCACAAUGGGCGGAAGUCUGAUGCAGCAACGCCGCGUGCGGGAUGACGGCCUUCGGGUUGUAAACCGCUUUCAGCAGGGGCGAAGCUUGUGGUGACGGUACCUGCAGAAGAAGCACCGGCUAACUACGUG